rnacentral:rRNA from 1 species
GAUGAACGCUGGCGGCGUGCCUCAAACAUGCAAGUCGAGCGGGGCUAUGUAAUAUCGCAAGGUAGAACAUAGCCUAGCGGCGAACGGGUGAGUAACACGUGGGUAACCUGCCUGGAAGACAGGGAUAACGAUUCGAAAGGGUCGCUAAUACCUGAUAAUAUCCUUUCAUCGCAUGGUGAUAGGAAGAAAGGGGAAACCCGCUUUCAGAUGGGCCCGCGUCCCAUCAGCUAGUUGGUAAGGUAAAGGCUUACCAAGGCGACGACGGGUAGCCGGUCUGAGAGGAUGUACGGCCACACUGGGACUGAGAUACGGCCCAGACUCCUACGGGAGGCAGCAGUUGGGAAUCUUAGGCAAUGGACGAAAGUCUGACCUAGCGACGCCGCGUGAGGGAAGAAGGCCUUCGGGUUGUAAACCUCUGUCAGUGGGGAAGAAGUAAGUGACGGUACCCCAAGAGGAAGCCCCUGCUAACUACGUG